GAAAUGCGAUAAGUAGUGUGAAUUGCAGAAUUCCGUGAAUCAUCGAAUCUUUGAACGCACAUUGCGCCCCCUGGCAUUCCGGGGGGCAUGCCUGUCCGAGCGUCAUUUCUGCCCUCAAGCGCGGCUUGUGUGUUGGGUGUGGUCCCCCCGGUGUUGGGGGGACCUGCCCGAAAGGCAGCGGCGACGUCCCGUCUAGGUCCUCGAGCGUAUGGGGCUUUGUCACCCGCUCGGGAGGGGCCUGCGGGCGUUGGCCACCCACGAUAUUUUUUUACCGUUGACCUCGGAUCAGGUAGGAGUUACCCGCUGAACUUAAGC
rnacentral:misc_RNA from 1 species